AACAGGAUUAGAUACCCUGGUAGUCCACGCCCUAAACGAUGUCUACUAGUUGUCGGGUUUUAAUUAACUUGGUAACGCAGCUAACGCGUGAAGUAGACCGCCUGGGGAGUACGGUCGCAAGAUUAAAACUCAAAGGAAUUGACGGGGACCCGCACAAGCGGUGGAUGAUGUGGAUUAAUUCGAUGCAACGCGAAAAACCUUACCUACCCUUGACAUGUCAGGAAUCCCGAAGAGAUUUGGGAGUGCUCGAAAGAGAGCCUGAACACAGGUGCUGCAUGGCUGUCGUCAGCUCGUGUCGUGAGAUGUUGGGUUAAGUCCCGCAACGAGCGCAACCCUUGUCAUUAGUUGCUACGAAAGGGCACUCUAAUGAGACUGCCGGUGACAAACCGGAGGAAGGUGGGGAUGACGUCAAGUCCUCAUGGCCCUUAUGGGUAGGGCUUCACACGUCAUACAAUGGUACAUACAGAGGGCCGCCAACCCGCGAGGGGGAGCUAAUCCCAGAAAGUGUAUCGUAGUCCGGAUUGUAGUCUGCAACUCGACUACAUGAAGUUGGAAUCGCUAGUAAUCGCGGAUCAGCAUGUCGCGGUGAAUACGUUCCCGGGUCUUGUACACACCGCCCGUCACACCAUGGGAGCGGGUUUUACCAGAAGUAGGUAGCUUAACCGCAAGGAGGGCGCUUACCACGGUAGGAUUCGUGACUGGGGUGAAGUCGUAACAAGGUAACC
rnacentral:rRNA from 1 species